CACGACUGCGACCCAGAGUACAUCUCCGGAGAACCAGGAAGUACAGAAUGAGGUACCAGUGCCAGAAUUAACACAGACAGCUGAGACGGCAAUUCAGGCAAUAAAUUCAGAUCACCUGGUGACCCUGAAAGAUGAUAGCAUACCAUUACAAUCUUUGAAGAGUUGUUUGGGUUCUUUGAAAGAGCAAAUGAGUGUUUUGCAAGAAGAAAUGAAUGAACAUACUACAAUAAUACAGACUUCAUCACAGUCAUGGAGGCAUGUAGACGAGCAAGUCAAAGAGUUGAGUCGUACAUGCGCUAGUAGUCCUGUUAAUUCACUCUAUAGUUCAUCGGUGGGUAGUGUGCCAUCAAGUCCUGGCUGGAAAUCACCUGCUACAACACCUAAUCUACCAAAUAUUCAAGAUUUGUAAAAAAUACAAUUCACAUUUACAGCUUUAUUCCUACUGUUCAAGGUGUUUAGUUUCUUUCACUGCCAGGCAUUUGUGUUUUUUUACUGGCUUAGGGGGCUUUAUGCUAAUCGGUGAUUUACACUUAUAUUCAAAUUGUUACGUAUACACC